rnacentral:lncRNA from 1 species
CGUUAUACCUUCUAAAUAUAUCUGUGCAUAUCGACCAGGUACACAACAGUUCACAUACCUUCAGUCCAAAGUUUCUCUGCAGAAAAUUUUCCUAAAUAUAGGAGGUAAGUUUGCUAAAAUUAACAAUGCCAAAGAAAAUAGUUCCCUCAAAAUAUUGAACUGUGUAUUAUGCUACUUUUUCAUGUUAAUUGUUUUUGGCAUGUACCAAGUAAUUUUCUUCCUCGUUCAUUAACUGAAGUAAUGAAAAAAGAUUGAUAUUAUUUCAUAAGAGUUGAAUAAUUUUAUUCAGAUUCUGUUUGUGUUUUCGUUUUCGUUGCUACAGAAGGUGUCAAAAUAAAGCAAAAAUUGAAAAAUGAAUUUAAUUGCAAGUAUUGUGAUAGUAAUUAUAUUAUUUUCUUUGAUCUUCGAUGAAAAGAACUGCUAUUGUAAAAAGCUUCAUAAUUUAAAGGGACUUUCAGUUUGAACUUUCCUCGGAGUUCAGUAUUUUUUUUUACUUAAUACACCUCCUGAUCGCUUAGCAUGCAAAUAGUGAGAGGAGCUUACAUCAGAACAUAAGAUUCGAACUCAUAAACGUUAUUACUCGACCUCAGAACUUGUUAUUAGUCUAGCUACGCCUACUUGGACUUACUAAGGAAAGUAAGAUAACAAGAAUACUGAACUCCGAACAGAAAGUCUCUUAUCAAAUUACAAAAUCAAAAGCUCAAACACAUCAAACGAAUGGACAUCAACUGUCAUAUUCCUGACUUGGAACAGUCGUUUUCUUACCAGAAAAUGGAUGAUUAAACAUGAUUUCAAAGCAAGUAAAAGCUCUAAAUUGUGUGCCAGUCGCAUAAAAGUUCAUUAUAUUGACAACGAUGUGUGAACAAAACAAACAGACAGAAAUAGGUGUACAGCAGUCAACAUUUUGUUAUAAUCUUAAUCACUAUAAAAUCAAACAAAGAUGUCAACAAAGAAACACAACUUGUAAACAUUGUUUUCCUUCCAAUAACAUUUAUAAGUAUAAAGUAUAAAAGAUGAAUCCCCGCCUAUCUAUUGAUAGCAUAUGUCAAUUUGAAUUACAAAACUUGAGUACAUAAUUUGUACAAACAAGGCAAGCAAGUCAACCAGACUAAACCUGCUAGCGUUAGGAUAACAGCUUUACAAUUAGCAUCUGCGCGAGAGAAUAAAAGCACUCAAAACAUUGUACAACCCUUUCAGACCACAAAACAAGUAUAAUAUUAAAAAUAACCUGUUAAUACCAAUUAUUUAUUAGAUUUGAAUGACGCAAAUAAAUAUUUAAUUUUUAGAGGAACUAAAGAUCUGAUGUUAUCAAUGAAAUGUGAGCAGUUCUUCGACAAAAUUAUAAGAGACCUAAAAUAUAUAAUGAAUUGUGACGAAGUCUGAAAAGUUUUGUACUGUGUGUACUGGGGUGUUAUGUUCGUGCGAUGGUAAUGUUAUAAUCUCCACUCGAUACAGUAUAAGUUUGUCUCUUGACGUUUACCUAACACAGACGAUGAAUGCCAAGUACAUGCACUUUUUACAAGAUAAUCCAGUGGUUAUGGUAACGUGUAAGUCCUGGACACCUUGGUCACAUAAAAGUUUAUGGAUCCCUGUAUAGUUAGACAAUUUGCUUAAAUAAAUCACACUGUAAGGAUGAUAUUUGUAUUAGCAUCAAACAUAUAACGAAGUUCACAAUAAUAACAGAUAGUAAAGGAUAUUCCACUCCGUAGACUUUAUACUACAACUUAACUUCUCGACUAACUACUCAAAUCACCUGUCUCUGAUCCUCCGACCCCCCUUUAUGACUCUCUCUCUCUCUCCAUUUAUACCACAACUCCAUUCUAGAUCUUUCCAAUAAUCUGAUGAAAUAUGUAAACUAAACGAUAAUAAACUCUCUGAAGUAAUGUUUCUGAUGUAACACUUGUAUAUGAAAUAUAACACUAGGGCACCAGUAAUAGGGCACUAGGGCGAAUGACCUAAAUAAACAUCUGGCAUAAGCCAUUAACCUAAAUACAUGUUAGUCACAAAAGGAAUGUAUUACUUUUAGAAUGAUCCUGAUGAAAUCAUGAAAAUGCUGACUAUAAGAGUCAAGUAAAUGAUAAUAACAUAACUAGAUGAAUUAUAAAACAUUGCUGAGGACAAAAUUCAUCACAGAAUUGUAUAUUGGAAUGUAGUUUGUGUAUUGUCUUUCAGAUGAAAUAAACACACACAUUUUCUCGAUCCAAAUUACCGCUUGAACUUACACUGUAAAGUGUACUUUGGUACUGACCGCUGAGCCGAUUGUAACCGAUGACAGGUUUUCCACCAAAAGAGAGAUCGACGCAGUUGUAACAAAACACAUUAUAAAUAAAAUGCAUUCGAUGCGCUUUACAAAUAAGCUUCCAUAUAAAUUUCAGUAAUUUAAUCUUUUGGUUUAUCGAAGUACAAAAGCAUAUAUAUCCAUUUUGUCUAUCGUUUCAGGAUGGCAUCUAAGGCGCUGAUGUGUGACCCAUGUUCUAGAUUAAACAAAUCAUCUAGCGCCAUAAAGUUCUGUACAGAUUGCAACGAUGCGCUAUGCUCAGAUUGCACAACUGUUCACAGCGCUCUAAAGAUUACUAUUCCUCAUCACGUGGUUGAUGUGUCUGCUUUAACCGGUCGUGCAUUCAAGUUAAAUAAAUACUGCAACGAUCAUCAAGAUAUGCCUUUAGAAUUUUUCUGUGCAGAUCAUGAUUGCUUACUAUGCCGAUCAUGUAUGGCCAACACCCAUCGAACUUGUGGUAAGAUUCUGCCAAUAGAUGUCGCGGCAAAAGGGAUUAAGUCUUCAGUCAUGUUUGAUGAUAUUUUUAGAGAUAUUGAUGCAAUACGCAACUCAACAAAUCAGUUAGUACAGGAAAGAAAGAAGAACAAGACACAAAUCGAACGGAACAAAGAACCGAUACUACAAAAGAUUAAAAAGUUUAGAAGUGAUAUUAAUAAGCAUCUCGACAAAUUGGAAAAGAAAGUGUCCUGUGAUGUUGAUACUAUGAAGAAAGAACUUGUUGAAAAGGCAUCCACAGAUCUAUCCGAAGCGGAAACAAGAGAUAAAAAUAUAGAAGAUAUAUGGGAACGAGUCAAUUUUCUUUCAAAACAUGGUUCCGAAAGUCAAAUGCUUAUCCUGCUGACUGAAGUAAGACCGGAAAUUACCAAACAAUCAAUAAAUCUUCAGGAGAUGAUUCUAUCUCUAGAAAUGAAUGGCUUGGAUUUUGAACAGGUAGAUUUGAUAUCUUCCAUAAGUUCCAUGGGAUUAGUGAAGCAGACGUCUUCCCCGUGUUCUGUGUCAUACCAGCCUCCUAAACAUAUACAAGCACAAAUACAGCAAACACAAGAAAAAGUCCCAACAAGGUUCGAAUUUGAAAAGAAAAUUGAUGUACCCUCGGGCAGAAUCACAUGUAUAGCUGUUACUGACGAAAAUAGAUUACUUAUGUGUAAUGACAUGAGUAGUAACUUUAAGAAUAAUAUAAUAGCAUGCACGGAUACAGGUGGGCAGAUUCAAGCGUGCACUAUUUCCAAUAGGGUAUUUGGUAUAGCUAUAAUACCACAUACUGAAGAAGCAGUUGUCAGUUUGGGUGAUGUCAAGGUUAUUCAAUUUAUCAAUA